GACGAACGCUGGCGGCGUGCUUAACACAUGCAAGUCGAACGGAAAGGCCCUGCUUUUGUGGGGUGCUCGAGUGGCGAACGGGUGAGUAACACGUGAGUAACCUGCCCUUGACUUUGGGAUAACUUCAGGAAACUGGGGCUAAUACCUGAUAGGAGCUCCUGCUGCAUGGUGGGGGUUGGAAAGUUUCGGCGGUUGGGGAUGGACUCGCGGCUUAUCAGCUUGUUGGUGGGGUAGUGGCUUACCAAGGCUUUGACGGGUAGCCGGCCUGAGAGGGUGACCGGCCACAGUGGGCCUGAGAUACGGCCCAGACUCCUACGGGCGGCAGCAGUGGGGAAUAGUGCGCAAUGGGCGGAAGCCUGAAGCAGCAACGCCGCGUGCGGGAUGACGGCCUUCGGGUUGUAAACCGCUUUCGCCUGUGACGAAGCGUGAGUGACGGUAAUGGGUAAAGAAGCACCGGCUAACUACGUG
rnacentral:rRNA from 1 species